rnacentral:rRNA from 1 species
GUAGUGGGGGAUAACGUUCGGAAACGGACGCUAAUACCGCAUACGUCCUACGGGAGAAAGCAGGGGACCUUCGGGCCUUGCGCUAUCAGAUGAGCCUAGGUCGGAUUAGCUAGUUGGUGAGGUAAUGGCUCACCAAGGCGACGAUCCGUAACUGGUCUGAGAGGAUGAUCAGUCACACUGGAACUGAGACACGGUCCAGACUCCUACGGGAGGCAGCAGUGGGGAAUAUUGGACAAUGGGCGAAAGCCUGAUCCA